rnacentral:lncRNA from 1 species
CAAUGGGAUUAAUAGAAGAAACAUAAAAUAUUGCAUACAAGGUAUCUGAUGAAUUGCGUAAAUGAGAUUUUUAAUAGGCUCUGUGAAGUCUGAGUCCAAUGGUAUUAUGAACUUAUCUUGAGGGUGUGGCCAUUUAAGUCUGUUGCGCGUCACUUACAUUCGCUUUGGAUAAAAGUGGAACAGUGGCCGACAUAGGCACAGAAGUGUAAUGCCUUUGUCCUGGGAUUUUUUAUGAGUUACGUGUGCAGCCCGUAGAUUAUAUACACGAUAAAUGUCUGUCUAUAGUUGAGGAACCAUUUGGAGCUGGUGAGCUGGUUGUGGGCGUCGCUAAUACUGGACCUAUGCGGGCUAGAAAGGAUGAGCUGAUAAAUGCAGCUGAUACAUCUAGUGUCACUUUGGAGGACCUAUCAACAUUGAGAACCGAUGGUCUAGGCCGGUCCUCACCGCAACCAGGGUUACUUUCAGGGAGCUUCUGAAACCCACUCUACUUUUGAGCUUUAUUUUGUUUUUUAUGAUCUUGUGUAACUGAGGAUAGUACACAUCCUUAAGUGCGGGGUGGGGAUGUUAGAAUUAUAAUUGUACAAUUGUAGUUAGCUAUUUUAUAUUGGCUUAAUCCUGAGUUUUUUUAAACCACGAUUCUUUCUCGAGAAUGCCAAUUUUCUUUUAACCGGAUAGUAGUUUUUUUAGGUAGAAUUUUCAAAAAUUUUGGACUUUUCUCGACUAUAGAUUUCUUUGACAAUUUUCUUGAGGGAAAGAAGUUAAAAUAAAAUACAAAAAGGUUUUCCUUCUCUUUUAGAAAUGAUAAUGGAAUGAGAAGAACUUGAGUAUCUAUUUUUCUUGACAUGGUUUAUAUCGGGACUUAGAGCUAUAACAUUUGAAUUGAUUAUCUUCUUCAUAUUCAAUGUGUCCACAUGUAUCGAGAAUAUAUGUGACUUUCUUUUGACGCUUAAGUUCAUUUGUCGACUCUUGUGAUUACUUUCCAUAUGUUGAGUUAAUAUGAUGGUUAUGCUUUGUUGUUUAACUUGCAUAUCAGGUCUGAACCAUUCGUAGUGAAUCAUAUGUAUUGCGUAAUGUGAGGCUUGAUUACAUUCUAUGCUAUCUUGUGUUAGUUUAGAACUUAUCCCAUGUGUUAGUCAAAACAAAAUAAGUAAGCUUUGUAAGUCUUGGAGAGGAUGUAGGUGUUUCUUUGAUUGUCUAUUAAGCUAGUAUGCCGUUGUAAAUAAAUUGAUCCUUAGAUAGCCCAUUUAAGCCUAUUAAUCGUUUCUUUGGUAUCCACAUUACAAGCCGAUUUUCUUUUUGUUCUUAAUUAGAUCUUCUGAACCUUUACCUCCGAAAGCACUUAAGUCGCUAGAAGAGUAUGGUGAGAGUUGAGGUAGCUUUUGAGUGGAACCACAGAAAGGCCAAAAUGUGCACGUAUAUUUAGAAAGAUCAUUAGCCGGGUAAUCCAAGUGGAGAAUGUUGGGGAAAAAAGAGAAACCCAGAUGCUCCGGUAUGGAGGUUUGGGCAUCUUGUUGUGGAGGGCACGAAAAGAGGUAGAGGGAAACCUAAGAAGUAUUGGGGAGAGGUGAUCAGGCAGGAAAUUGCGAGGCUUCAGAUUUUCGAGGACAUGACACUUGAUAGGAAGAUGUGGAAGGUGGAGUAUUAGGGUUGUAGG